UGGAAAUGAUGAAAUAGAGAUAAUUGGGUGUUGAAUGUUGUAUGACUGGAGAUUUUUAAUAUGUAUCUAUAAGUAAUUCUAGGUUUAAUAUCUUAUAAAUAUUUAAUAGAGAGCGUGUGUGCAUGUGUGUGUGCUUGUGGCGGCUGUGGAAAGGGGGCACUGACUGGUGAUGCUGAUAUUGGAGUGCAUCUGAGGCUGUUGGAGGAAUAACAUGGGUUGUUGAUUACAACAUUGCCGAUGAUUACAACCCAAGAACAGCUCACCUAACUGGCCCAUCACCCUAAAAUCUCUAACGGGUUCAUUAAACAUGAUCCUGUGAUCUGAUCCAA